UUAGAUACCCUGGUAGUCCACACAGUAAACGAUGAAUACUCGCUGUUUGCGAUAUACGGCAAGCGGCCAAGCGAAAGCAUUAAGUAUUCCACCUGGGGAGUACGCCGGCAACGGUGAAACUCAAAGGAAUUGACGGGGGCCCGCACAAGCGGAGGAACAUGUGGUUUAAUUCGAUGAUACGCGAGGAACCUUACCCGGGCUUAAAUUGCACCUGAAUAACGUGGAAACAUGUUAGCCGCAAGGCAGGUGUGAAGGUGCUGCAUGGUUGUCGUCAGCUCGUGCCGUGAGGUGUCGGCUUAAGUGCCAUAACGAGCGCAACCCUUAUCUUCAGUUACUAACAGGUCAUGCUGAGGACUCUGGAGAGACUGCCGUCGUAAGAUGUGAGGAAGGUGGGGAUGACGUCAAAUCAGCACGGCCCUUACGUCCGGGGCUACACACGUGUUACAAUGGGGGGUACAGAAGGCCGCUACCUGGUGACAGGAUGCUAAUCCCAAAAACCUCUCUCAGUUCGGAUCGAAGUCUGCAACCCGACUUCGUGAAGCUGGAUUCGCUAGUAAUCGCGCAUCAGCCAUGGGCGCGGUGAAUACGUUCCCGGGCCUUGUACACACCGNCCGUCAAGCCAUGAAAGCCCGGGGGUACCUGAAGUACGUAACCGCAAGGAGCGUCCUAAGGUAAAACUGUAA
rnacentral:rRNA from 1 species